UACAGAGGGUGCGAGCGUUAAUCGGAAUUACUGGGCGUAAAGCGUGCGUAGACGGUCAAGUAAGUCGGGUGUGAAAGCCCCGGGCUCAACCUGGGAAUUGCAUUCGAGACUGCGUGGCUAGGGUGCGGAAGAGGGAAGCGGAAUUUCCGGUGUAGCGGUGAAAUGCGUAGAUAUCGGAAGGAACAUCAGUGGCGAAAGCGGCUUCCUGGUCCAGCACCGACGUCAGGCACGAAAGCGUGGGGAGCAAACAGG
rnacentral:rRNA from 1 species